CCCCAGAUGUUGCUGAACUACAACUCCCAUGAUUCUCUGGCUACCUCUGUAAUUCAAAGAAUCAUGGGAGUUGUAGUUCAGCAACAUCUGGGG